CGGAACUACUCAGUGGUGAAGGCUGUGCGGACACUGGGGGCCCGCCAGGGGUUUGGCCCCUUACUCAACCCAACCACGGUCCUCUCCGGCGCAGGCCGAUUUGAGGACCUAGACUCCUUGAUGCUGACGGCCUGAGGGGGCUCCCGGGUGCCGGAUAUCUGACACAGGCCAGGGAGGCUCCCCUGGGAGACCUGGCAGGCCUGGAGGUGUGAGUCGGCUCUGAGCAGCUGCUCUGGGAGAGCCAGUCCACGGAGCCAAAGCUGGAGGGCAGCUGCCGGCCACAAGUUGGGGAGGAGGAGAGACGCAAGGCCGUCAGAUGCUUGUCCUGGAAACCAACCAUGAGCUGUGAUGAAAUCCAGGCAACUGAGUUGUGUUUCAGCCCAAAGCAGCAAAUGGAAUCCAGCUUCAGGACCAUCAUCUGACAUAGGGGAAGAAGACUUACAUAGAAGGCCUAACCAGCACCCAAGAUCAUUCAGAGUUCCACAGAGAAACAGAACCACUUGGAUAUCUAUG
rnacentral:lncRNA from 10 species